UACGGAAGGCAGCAGUGGGGAAUAUUGCACAAUGGGCGCAAGCCUGAUGCAGCCAUGCCGCGUGUAUGAAGAAGGCCUUCGGGUUGUAAAGUACUUUCAGUCGUGAGGAGGGUGUUAAGGUUAAUAACCUUAGCAAUUGACGUUAGCGACAGAAGAAGCACCGGCUAACUCCGUGCCAGCAGCCGCGGUAAUACGGAGGGUGCGAGCGUUAAUCGGAAUUACUGGGCGUAAAGGGCACGCAGGCGGUUAAUUAAGUUGGAUGUGAAAUCCCCGGGCUUAACCUGGGAAUGGCAUUCAAGACUGGUUAGCUAGAGUCUUGUAGAGGGGGUAGAAUUCCAUGUGUAGCGGUGAAAUGCGUAGAGAUGUGGAGGAAUACCGGUGGCGAAGGCGGCCCCUGGACAAAGGCUGACGCUCAUGUGCGAAAGCGUGGGGAGCAAACG
rnacentral:rRNA from 1 species